rnacentral:tRNA from 1 species
GGAAGCGUGCCAGAGCGGUUGAAUGGGCCUGUCUUGAAAACAGGUAUACCCGAAAGGGUAUCGGAGGUUCGAAUCCUCCCGCUUCCG